UUGGAGGGCAAGUCUGGUGCCAGCAGCCGCGGUAAUUCCAGCUCCAAUAGCGUAUAUUAAAGUUGUUGCAGUUAAAAAGCUCGUAGUUGAAUUUCGGGGUCAGCAGGUUGGUCGUGCCUCUGGUACGCACUGGUUUCGCUGAUUCCUCCUUUCUGAAGAACUGUAAUGUCAUUAAUUUGGUGUUGCAGGGAAACAGGACUGUUACUUUGAAAAAAUUAGAGUGUUUAAAGCAAGCUAACGCUUGAAUACAUAGCAUGGAAUAAUGAAAUAGGACGUUUGAUCCUAUUUUGUUGGUUUCUAGGAUUGACGUAAUGAUUAAUAGGGAUAGUUGGGGGCAUUAGUAUUCAAUUGUCAGAGGUGAAAUUCUUGGAUUUAUUGAAGACUAACUACUGCGAAAGCAUUUGCCAAGGAUGUUUUCAUUAAUCAAGAACGAAAGUUAGGGGAUCGAAGACGAUCAGAUACCGUCGUAGUCUUAACCAUAAACUAUGCCGACUAGGGAUCGGAUGAUGUUAAUUUUUUAAUGACUCAUUCGGCGCCUUACGGGAAAC
rnacentral:rRNA from 1 species